GAUGAACGCUGGCGGCGUGCUUAACACAUGCAAGUCGAACGGUGAAGGCGGAGCUUGCUCUGCUGGAUCAGUGGCGAACGGGUGAGUAACACGUGAGAAAUCUGCCCCUGACUCUGGGAUAAGCGCUGGAAACGGCGUCUAAUACUGGAUACGAGCUGCGAAGGCAUCUUCAGCAGCUGGAAAGAAUUUCGGUCAGGGAUGAGCUCGCGGUCUAUCAGCUUGUUGGUGAGGUAAUGGCUAACCAAGGCGUCGACGGGUAGCCGGCCUGAGAGGGUGACCGGCCACACUGGGACUGAGACACGGCCCAGACUCCUACGGGAGGCAGCAGUGGGGAAUAUUGCACAAUGGGCGAAAGCCUGAUGCAGCAACGCCGCGUGAGGGACGACGGCCCUCGGGUUGUAAACCUCUUUGAGCAGGGAAGAAGCGAAAGUGACGGUACCUGCAGAAAAAGCGCCGGCUAACUACGUG
rnacentral:rRNA from 1 species